CUAAAGGUUUUAAGUUUCCUUUGUUUUGUGUGAGGCCUGAUCCACUAGGCAUACUCUGACCACCUCUACCAGACUGGGACCACAGACAAGGUUGCUGAGACUUCCAGAAAGAAGUAUGGAAACCAAAAGGGUGAAGUUCAGCACUUGACGUUUACUCCACACCUGAGGAGAGAGGCUUUAAGACAAUGACUUGCAGGAGUGCUCAGCAACCUGAGCAAACCUUUACCAGAGCGGUGAGAAUGGCAACCACCACAAUAACCCCACCGCACUGGCCUGAUAGAGGCAUAAUUCCAGGGCUGAGCCAGGACAUCUGCCUUCCCUAGACCUUCCAAGUUCUACAGUCAUCCUCUGCAGAAAAUGGUCCACACUGAUCAUGUCAAGAUAAUGACAAUAAGUGUUCUUGGAGUGAACACUGACAUUUUCCCAAGAAAUCCUCCUGGAGUUAAGUCUUUUGUGUCCAAUGUUAAUGUUGCUCCAUCUGGUUGCUCAAAUCAGAUUAACUGGAUAGCUGCCUAAUUUGGGAAAUUCACAAAACAUUCCUAUAGCCAAGAUAGAGCCAUUUUUGGCCUUGUUUAAUCAGACAGCGUGAUUAGGUAGAAGAAGGCUCCCCCUUGAUUUUCCCUUUAUAUAAAAGGAUGUCACAAAUAGAGAGGAUAAAGCUAUGCAACCUAGUUCAUUCCAUGCCAGGUAAAGAAACCUGAUACAACUUUACAGUCUCUCAAAGGCCACAACCCUCUGUAUUGAAAAGAGUGCUUAUUGGGGACAGAUUUUCACCAGUCAAAUUACUUACAAAUGUAAUUAAAUAGACUUUUGGGUU